GGACACGGGACAGUAUCUUCCUACGAGACCCGCGUCGGAGCGGCACGGUGCGCAGAUUCUCUUCCCACACAAAGUGGGCUCGGGGAAGCCGGGCUCGGGAAGCUCACCAGCGCUCACCAUCGGAGAGAGCCGGCAGAACCGCGCGGCGCAGGGGACGUGACGUCACACGGAAGCUGCGCUUUCAGCCCCGCCCCCAGGGGCGCGCGGUGCACGCUGGCCCUUGUAGUCCUUCGGGAGCGGAGCCCAGGGGUAGGGUGCAGUCUAGAAGCCUGAUGAAGCUUGGGACCAUGCCUUUCUGCCCACUCCAAUACCAGCUGUUGGUGAAUUGUGAGCCUUCAACUCUGAGUUACCACCACCUUGCUGAAGAUGUGCCAUAGGAAGUGUUUCUUCUGAAAUACCACCUGGUCAUCUACCACUGUUGCCAAGUGCUCCUGGAGCUUAUGCUUAAACGCCAGCCAGGGUUGAAGAUGCUCAAUGCUUCCUGAUGUAGCUCCCAGUUGGGUAAUUCUGCAGGCUUGGAUCAUUUGAGCUGCUAGAGAAAUAGGAACCUGCUUGUGGGAGUGCAGACUGCCAACUCACAAAUUGGGAUGUUUGCAGAGGUUCUGCUGAGGUUGGAAGGGAGAAGAAACCCAAACCACCUAAGGCCAGACACUCUGAUCCUCGUCCUGAGGAGCAGCGUUUAACCGCUCUGCCUGCCCCACCCCACACGGCGCUCCCCACCGUGGGCCACA